AGGACGAACGCUGGCGGCGUGCUUAACACAUGCAAGUCGAGCGGUAAGGCCCUUUCGGGGGUACACGAGCGGCGAACGGGUGAGUAACACGUGAGUAAUCUGCCCUCCACUUGGGGAUAAGCUUCGGAAACGGGGUCUAAUACCUGAUACGACACUCUCCUGCAUGGGAUGGGUGUGGAAAGUUUUUUCGGUGGGGGAUGUGCUCGCGGCCUAUCAGCUUGUUGGUGGGGUCACGGCCCACCAAGGCGACGACGGGUAGCCGGCCUGAGACGGGCGACCGGGCCAACGACUGGGACUGAGACACGGCCCAGACUCCUACGGGAGGCAGCAGUGGGGAAUAUUGCGCAAUGGGCAAAGCCUGACGCAGCGACGCCGCGUGAGGGAUGAAGGCCUUCGGUUGUAAACCUCUUUCAGCAGGACGAAGCGAAAGUGACGGUACCUGCAGAAGAGACGACCGCCAACUACGUGCCAGCACGCCGC
rnacentral:rRNA from 1 species